rnacentral:rRNA from 1 species
UUCGCAAUGCCCGAAAGGGUGACGAUGCGACGCCGCGUGAGCGAAGAAGGCCCUAGGGUUGUAAAGCUCUGUCGAGGGUUAUGAAAUAUAGAUGGGUUAAUACCCCAUUUAUUUGACAAAAGCCCAAAAGGAAGCCACGGCUAACUCUGUGCCAGCAGCCGCGGUAAUACAGAGGUGGCGAGCGUUGUUCGGUAUUAUUGGGCGUAAAGAGCACGUAGGUGGUUUUGUAAGUCAGGUGUGAAAGCCUUCUGUUCAAAGGAAGAACGGCAUCUGAAACUGCAGAUCUUGAGUGUAGGAGGGGAGAGUGGAACUUCUGGUGGAGCGGUGAAAUGCGUAGAUAUCAGAAGGAACGACGGCGGCGAAAGCGACUCUCUGGCCUAUUACUGACACUGAGUGUGCGAAAGUUAGGGGAGCAAACGGGAUUAGAUACCCCGGUAGUCCUAACCGUAAACGAUGGGCACUAAGUAGAGGGGUUUU